rnacentral:snRNA from 1 species
GCAAAGACCUGCCUGAUAAAGAACUUAUCCAAAACAAAAAAAUUCCAUUGAUUGCCAGGAUUGAUCUGACUAAUAUGGCUGGCUAGGCAGGGGUCCUCAACCUCCCUCACUACUCCAUUUGCAUUCCUCCUAAAGCAAUGUGCUCUACCAAAGAGGACAAGCUUCCCCAAUGGAGGAGGAUAGUUCUUUGCUCAAAGGUAGAAGAGUAGCUGUUCCCCUGCUAAAACCUCCAAACAGACUCUCAAAGAACUCUUUAAGAUUCAACAGAGUUCUUUGUAUACUCUGGAUAUUAGGGCUCUAUCUGAAGUGUGAGGAGUAAAGAUUUGUUCCCAGGGUGUAGGCUCCCUAUUUACCUCUCU